rnacentral:tRNA from 1 species
GGUUUGUGGCUCAGUGGUAGAGUGCUCACCUAGCACCUGUGAGGCCCUGGGUUUAAACCUAAGCACCA